rnacentral:rRNA from 1 species
GAUGAACGCUGGCGGCGUGCCUAAUACAUGCAAGUCGAGCGAACAGACGAGGAGCUUGCUCCUUUGACGUUAGCGGCGGACGGGUGAGUAACACGUGGGUAACCUACCUAUAAGACUGGGAUAACUUCGGGAAACCGGAGCUAAUACCGGAUAAUAUUUCGAACCGCAUGGUUCGAUAGUGAAAGAUGGCUCUGCUAUCACUUAUAGAUGGACCUGCGCCGUAUUAGCUAGUUGGUAAGGUAACGGCUUACCAAGGCAACGAUACGUAGCCGACCUGAGAGGGUGAUCGGCCACACUGGAACUGAGACACGGUCCAGACUCCUACGGGAGGCAGCAGUAGGGAAUCUUCCGCAAUGGGCGAAAGCCUGACGGAGCAACGCCGCGUGAGUGAUGAAGGUCUUCUGAUCGUAAAACUCUGUUAUUAGGGAAGAACAAACGUGUAAGUAACUGUGCACGUCUUGACGGUACCUAAUCAGAAAGCCACGGCUAACUACGUG